rnacentral:misc_RNA from 1 species
AUCUUCUGGCCCAAAGUUCCAC